AGUGAACGCUGGCGGCGUGCCUAAUACAUGCAAGUCGAACGAGUGGCGCACGGGUGAGUAAUAUAUGCUAAUUGCCCAUUACUAAGGGACAACAGUUGGAAACGACUGCUAAUACCUUAUAGUAAUGGAUGGGCUAUAUCGUAUCAGCUAGUUGGUAAGGUAAUGGCUUACCAAGGCUAUGACGCGUAACUGGUCUGAGAGGAUGAGCAGUCACACUGGAACUGAGACACGGUCCAGACUCCUACGGGAGGCAGCAGUGGGGAAUAUUGCGCAAUGGGGGCAACCCUGACGCAGCCAUGCCGCAUGAAUGAAGAAGGCCUUCGGGUUGUAAAGUUCUUUCGGUAGCGAGGCGUUAACUACAGAAGAAGCACCGGCUAACUCCGUGCCAGCAGCCGCGGUAAUUC
rnacentral:rRNA from 1 species